UCGGGGGCUGCUGCUCCACUUCCCAUUUCAAAAGAAGCGUUUGCUGAGCCGCGCUGCGACCGCUCGGGAUGCUUUGGGCCGGGAGCAGCGCGGACACGCGUGCGCGGGCCUGCUCGCACGCACGGGUACGAGCGGCGCAGGGCCACGUGUUGCGGGGGGUUUAACAGCCCCAGCCAAAAACCCUCCCAGAGGGACGCGGCUCUGCCGCUCAGCCAAGGGGACCCACGAAACGCCGAGGGAGCAGAGGGCUGGAGUGGCCUUUCAACACAGAAAGGGAAGCGGCCCGGUCCGUGCUGCAGGAGCGGAGGCGGGAGCAGCUGGAUUAAAACAAACCCCGCUAACGAUGAGCUCAGACCACGUUUUCGGUCGGAAGCUGGCUCUUCUCCCGCUGCAGGAGACCUCCAGCAACCGGGCAUUUGCUCUGCUCCAGCUGGAGUCAGUUCAAGAAAAACAUGACUGAAGAGGUUUGAAAAGCCAAUCCCGGUCCCAGAAAAAGGCAAGCGCUUGCUCGGCAAUCGUUACACAAGCGCAGCCAUUUGCUUCUACGGUAGCUGCUCCCCGCAGCCACCUGGCUGGUGGCAGCACCUGACCUACAUGACCCAUCCUCGGCCACCGCCCCCGAGCAAGGAAGGCAAGAAAGCCCAUUUCUGCCUUUAAAGAAGUUCCUGGGGCAACACCAGAGUCCAAACCUUUCUCCCCGGCGGAGACGCAUUUGACACUGGCAAGUCAUACUGCCAUUUCCGCCAUAACUUCGUGAAAGAGGUUUCAGGAAAACCAAGACGACUAUAUGCAACACAUUAUGAUUUUGUGAAGAAAAAUGAUAGUUUUAACAUAGCACACGUUUACUGGGUUAGGAGAAAACUGCGUGACCCUCAAGUUACUUCGCCUCCUACCUUGUUUCUGCCAGCAGGCUCUUCUCAGUUUCAGCAACCUCUAAACCCAGCAGCCAGUGAGGAAAAAAACCAAAAGAGUAAGCAAGUGUGAACGAGCACUGCCGCAACACAGCUCGCGCGGGCUUUGCCAGACACUGGAGACCACCUUUGAAAGAACUGGGUUUUACAAAACCAGUAAAGUUCACCCAGUGCUACUCACACAGAAAGGCCAAUAAGAAAGGUCACUGCCACCCCACAAAUCAUUGGGGCGAGGACUUCUGAAGGGUCACUGAAUGCCUGCCUGUGAAAAACAUCAGCACAAGCGCCCACCAUGCAACAUGCUGCCACCACCAAACCCAAAGUCCCUCUGCCAGCUGAUCCCGAGGGCACCCGACACGUAUGCCGUGAUGUAACAUACACUGUGAAACACUCCCAGUUCUGGAACCUCGUACACAAAAUACACAUUUCUUAUUUACAUUCACUUCUCAAUUUUUAUUCUAUUUCUCGCAUGGUCUUCAAAUACAGUUUUACAGGUCUUUUUUUCUGCUACAGAUACUGUUGAUCUAAAAACAGAUUAAUGAAAGUGGCAUUCCAACCUUAAUGAAAAUUCAUAACCAUGAAAGAUAUGUCAACAUAUCACUUUACAAUCCUAGAAUGAUGGUAUUGGCCUGACAUUCCAUAGGCUUAUACAAGUAACUUCUAUAGUAAUAACAAAGUCAUAGGAAGAGAAAAUGUGGCAACUCCUUAAAUACCAAGAAAUAAGGCCACAAGCAUCCUAUGCCAUAAUGUGACGCAUCCAGAUAAAAUAAGUUGACUCUGGUAUCCAUGAAGAAACAACUCUCCCACCUGACAAACCAAGGCAUCAGCUACUCAACAUGCACUCAAAGCUGUAUAAAAACUAGUGGCAUUCAGCUCUGACUUACAUGAAAUCCCAUAGCACAACCCCGUACCUCUCUCAAAACGAAAUGAACUUGUUUCAACUUAAAUACUUUGCUAUUGCAUUAAGAAAAUUGUUCACAUUCUGCAAAGGAAAAAAAGAAACCCAUCCUGCACGUGACUGCACCAGGAGGCCAAACACAGCAUCUCCUCAUGGGUUGCAGGCAAUGCUACUGCAGUCUUAAUGCCAUUCAUUACAGGUUGCCAACUUCUCCUAUGUGGCUGGAGGCUUUUAAAAGGAACGGAACUUCUCUUGUGCCCCACCAAAAAAAAAAACCAGGAAAAUUUAAAAGGAACAUAAAGACAGCUGGUGGCAGCAGGUGAAAGAAGCAAGGUACUGCAAGGUACCAUUGGCCAAUUGCGUAUCUGGGGCACUGGGACUUCUGUGAAAUACCAAUUUCAUAAAUGAUGCGACUACCUCACUACCAGAUCCCAUACCAUGCCGAUUCCAUCCCAUAGCCAAACAUGUCAGUCCUGGGUAAAAACAUUAAACUCUUGGAACAUUUAAAAGUAGGUAACCAUUUAAAUAAUGUGUAAAAAUGUGCUUAUUGUGGCAUUUCUUAUAGAAAAGUUAUUUGAUACAAAUGUGCAGGACUUGAAGACCCUGAUUUAAUCAAACUAGUACGAACAGGCUUUGAAAGAUGGUGACUGUUCCAGGGACAAAUCUCAGCCGUGGGCCAGCUCUCUCCCUCUCACCGUCUUUCAUCCACAAUCCUGUGUGAAUGUUACCAAAAUUAACGGGUUCAGCAGACCACCCUGUGAAUUGCUGUUUCAGUCCCAGGAGAAUGAUGAUAACCUCGAGCAGUGACAAACUGCCAUCUGACGGAAGGAUCAUUUGGGAUCCCCUUACCCAAAUGGUCAGUUUCUAGCCCUGGAUACGAGGCACAAUAAGAAAGGUCAGUGCCGAGGACAGAUUCGUUCUCCAUUGUGGUUUUAGGUUAUUCAAAAGUGCCAUCUUGGACCUAGACCAUUUCACUUUUCAAAAGAAAAAGUUACAAAAACCAGUAAACAAAAAGUUAGUCAGCAUACGGCUAAGUUUAUAUACACUCAAAUUUACAAGUUUGUCAUUAAGUGACUUCUGCCACAGACCACUGCACAUUUGUCCCUAACAAAGCACAAAGCUUGAACCAAUGGUCAUUAGAAGUGACAACGGGUCAUUGCUUUAUCAACAAGCAUAAAGAUAGUCAAAAAUAGAACUGUAGCUGCUUAUCUUUAAAUUUGCUGAUUGACACAAGCAAUCCCUCCCAUUUCUGCAACUUCCAGUUGUGCAUCCUGCUCUAUGACAGAGAAAAAACCUGCAUCUUUACAGACACUUCUGCCAGAGACUGCUUUUCUGUUGACACAUGAAUGCAGAGAACUGUCAUCAACCACAGCACCGAUUGAGAGGGAUUCCUCUGAGAAGCUAUAGCCCAUGCAAGAUUCCUUGGCACUUCACACAGGACCAGGAGAGGACAAGGUUUCUCUUUGUUAAAACAGUGUUUUCAGCAGCAUUAUCCUCUUCCAACAAGUUACAGUCUGAAUGUGUGAUGGGUGAUUUUCGCAUAGCCCCUUCUACCAAGCUGGCUUAUCGCUGGCUUUGUGCAGCUAGACCAUAGGAAGAUCCCCACCACUACCUGCCCAGCUGUUAAGGGACUACAGUACUGGAACAGUUCGCUGUCAAGCGCUUCACAGACUUCUUCCAAGGAUAACAACAUCCUUUGGAAAUCCUUCCAUUUUAGCGAUUUCAAAACAACCCAGCUUGCUGUAGAAUUCCAGGAUUCUUUUAUCAUCUGGUCUCACUUCACAAAAAGCCCCACGGGAGCCUGAAAAAAGGAAGCAACAAACAAAACACUGUAGGAGAAAAGUUACUGUAAAAAGCACAGACAUGAAGUAUUCCUAGAGCUCCCACCUAUUUCAACAUUUAAACCCCACGAAGUCACGGAUCCAAUUCCGCAAGGAACAUAGUGUCCAAGAGAGACCAGAUUUACAGCAAGAGAGCUGACCAUCCCCUAAUGGAACUGCACAUUGCAGAUGUCUCGUCAGUCUGAACAAACCCUCUGCACACCUUUUAUUCCACAUAAAAGCAUCCUGAAACUCUCAUGUUGGCUCAGGAAAUGGCACUAGGAGAGGGCACCAAAUCACGCAAAGGAACUGCGAACCUCAGACGUGCAGUAAGGCAGACAACCAGGUACUUCCCCAUACUGGUUUUGGUCAUUACCCACCAGUGCACGCUGCCACACUUAAGCAGCAGCUUCAUUACCAACACCAGCAGGGGAAAAUAUAAAUGUUUGUGCGUUGUUCAAGAUGUAAAAAUGUGUGCUCUCAUUGCCAAAUUGCUCCCUCAGUUCUUCCUAUUUUCUAAUUUGCAAGAUAAUGGCUAAAGCGAAAAGCAACCUUUUACCAAAGUCAGCAGCAGAAGCUAGUUGUCUGAAAGCUUUUAUAUUUAUUUACCUAAAUCUAGACUGCCAACUAUGGCAGGAAUAAAAUAUCUCAGGCUGACAUGCAAAUACAGUAUGUUAAUAUAA